rnacentral:tRNA from 1 species
GCCCCCGUAGCUCAGCGGAUAGAGCAUGGGCCUUCUAAUCCCGUGGUCGCAGGUUCGAGUCCUGCCGGGGGCG